UACGUAGGUGGCAAGCGUUGUCCGGAAUUAUUGGGCGUAAAGCGCGCGCAGGCGGCCUUUUAGGUCUGAUGUGAAAUCUUGCGGCUCAACCGCAAGCGGCCAUUGGAAACUGGGAGGCUUGAGUACAGAAGAGGAGAGUGGAAUUCCACGUGUAGCGGUGAAAUGCGUAGAUAUGUGGAGGAACACCAGUGGCGAAGGCGACUCUCUGGUCUGUAACUGACGCUGAGGCGCGAAAGCGUGGGGAGCAAACAGG
rnacentral:rRNA from 1 species